rnacentral:rRNA from 1 species
CCUACGGGAGGCACCAGUAGGGAAUCUUCGGCAAUGGACGAAAGUCUGACCGAGCAACGCCGCGUGAGUGAAGAAGGUUUUCGGAUCGUAAAACUCUGUUGUUAGAGAAGAACAAGGACGUUAGUUACUGAACGUCCCCUGACGGUAUCUAACCAGAAAGCCACGGCUAACUACGUGCCAGCAGCCGCGGUAAUACGUAGGUGGCAAGCGUUGUCCGGAUUUAUUGGGCGUAAAGCGAGCGCAGGCGGUUUCUUAAGUCUGAUGUGAAAGCCCCCGGCUCAACCGGGGAGGGUCAUUGGAAACUGGGAGACUUGAGUGCAGAAGAGGAGAGUGGAAUUCCAUGUGUAGCGGUGAAAUGCGUAGAUAUAUGGAGGAACGCCAGUGGCGAAGGCGGCUCUCUGGUCUGUAACUGACGCUGAGGCUCGAAAGCGUGGGGAGCAAACAGGAUUAGAUACCCCCGUAGUC